AACGUAGGGGGCCAGCGUUGCUCGGAAUUACUGGGCGUAAAGGGUCCGUAGGCGGUGUGGCAAGUCGGAAGUGAAAUCUCUGGGCUUAACUCAGAGGCUGCUUCCGAAACUGCUGUGCUAGAGUGUGAGAGAGGCGAGUGGAAUUGCGGGUGUAGCGGUGAAAUGCGUAGAUAUCCGCAGGAACAUCCGAGGCGAAAGCGGCUCGCUGGAUCACAACUGACGCUGAGGGACGAAAGCUAGGGGAGCAAACAGG
rnacentral:rRNA from 1 species